rnacentral:rRNA from 1 species
AAUAGAUACCCCGGUAGUCCACGCCGUAAACGAUGAGUGCUAAGUGUUAGGGGGUUUCCGCCCCUUAGUGCUGCAGCUAACGCAUUAAGCACUCCGCCUGGGGAGUACGGUCGCAAGACUGAAACUCAAAGGAAUUGACGGGGGCCCGCACAAGCGGUGGAGCAUGUGGUUUAAUUCGAAGCAACGCGAAGAACCUUACCAGGUCUUGACAUCCCAUUGGCCACUAUGGAGACAUAGUUUUCCCUUCGGGGACAACGGUGACAGGUGGUGCAUGGUUGUCGUCAGCUCGUGUCGUGAGAUGUUGGGUUAAGUCCCGCAACGAGCGCAACCCUUGUUCUUAGUUGCCAUCAUUUAGUUGGGCACUCUAAGGAGACUGCCGGUGACAAACCGGAGGAAGGUGGGGAUGACGUCAAAUCAUCAUGCCCCUUAUGACCUGGGCUACACACGUGCUACAAUGGACGGUACAAACGGUUGCCAACCCGCGAGGGGGGAGCUAAUCCGAUAAAACCGUUCUCAGUUCGGAUUGUAGGCUGCAACUCGCCUACAUGAAGCC